UACGCAGGGGGCAAGCGUUGUCCGGAAUCAUUGGGCGUAAAGAGCGUGUAGGCGGCCAGAUAAGUCCGUUGUGAAAACUCGAGGCUCAACCUCGAGACGCCGGUGGAAACCGUAAGGCUAGAGUCCGGAAGAGGAGAGUGGAAUUCCUGGCGUAGCGGUGAAAUGCGCAGAUAUCAGGAAGAACACCCGUGGCGAAGGCGGCUCUCUGGGACGGUACUGACGCUGAGACGCGAAAGCGUGGGGAGCGAACAGG
rnacentral:rRNA from 1 species